rnacentral:rRNA from 1 species
UACGAAGGGGGCUAGCGUUGCUCGGAAUCACUGGGCGUAAAGGGUGCGUAGGCGGGUCUUUAAGUCAGGGGUGAAAUCCUGGAGCUCAACUCCAGAACUGCCUUUGAUACUGAAGAUCUUGAGUUCGGGAGAGGUGAGUGGAACUGCGAGUGUAGAGGUGAAAUUCGUAGAUAUUCGCAAGGACACCAGUGGCGAAGGCGGCUCACUGGCCCGGUACUGACGCUGAGGUGCGAAAGCGUGGGGAGCAAACAGG